rnacentral:misc_RNA from 1 species
ACACGCUCCUCCAGCCAACCUGAGUAAUCUUGCAGAUAAUAGUCCAAAUAUGCUCUGCCCAUCACCGGCCGCCCUGACCCUUUAUCGGUCACUGCAUAUGCAAAGAUGAUGAACCCUAUAAGCGCUGCGAUGAUGAAGAACAUAACAAACAAGUAUAGCCACAUCAAGAAAGUGUUCCUAUAACACGCGCCGGCAAAACCAGCCAAAGAUAUAACCAUAAUAGACACCCCAAUCACGAUCAAUGGCCACUGCAAGAAUUUUAAGCAAUCUGUGUUGUUGGCUCGGCUGCUUAGCCAUAUCCCACC